CGGGACGGAUGGCGAGCGGCUUCUGGACUGACACUGACACUGAGGUGCGAAAGCGUGGGUAGCAAACAGGAUUAGAUACCCUGGUAGUCCACGCCGUAAACGAUGUCGACUAGCCGUUGGGUCCCUUGAGGACUUUGUGGCGCAGUUAACGCGAUAAGUCGACCGCCUGGGGAGUACGGCCGCAAGGUUAAAACUCAAAUGAAUUGACGGGGGCCCGCACAAGCGGUGGAGCAUGUGGUUUAAUUCGAUGCAACGCGAAGAACCUUACCUACCCUUGACAUCGUGCGAACUUGGUAGAGAUACCUUGGUGCCUUCGGGAGCGCACAGACAGGUGCUGCAUGGCUGUCGUCAGCUCGUGUUGUGAAAUGUUGGGUUAAGUCCCGUAACGAGCGCAACCCUUGUCCCUAUUUGCCAGCGAUUCGGUCGGGAACUCUAGGGAGACUGCCGGUGACAAACCGGAGGAAGGUGGGGACGACGUCAAGUCAUCAUGGCCCUUACGGGUAGGGCUACACACGUGCUACAAUGGCCGGUACAAAGGGUUGCGAAGCCGCGAGGUGGAGCCAAUCCCGAAAAGCCGGUCUCAGUCCGGAUCGGAGUCUGCAACUCGACUCCGUGAAGUCGGAAUCGCUAGUAAUCGUGAAUCAGAAUGUCACGGUGAAUACGUUCCCGGGCCUUGUACACACCGCCCGUCACACCAUGGGAGUGGACUGCACCAGAAGUGGUUAGCUUAACCUUCGGGGGAGCGAUCACCACGGUGUGGUUCAUGACUGGGGUGAAGUCGUAACAAGUUAGCCGUAAG
rnacentral:rRNA from 1 species